rnacentral:rRNA from 1 species
AUUGAACGCUGGCGGAAUGCUUUACACAUGCAAGUCGAACGGCAGCACGGGGGGAACCCUGGUGGCGAGUGGCGAACGGGUGAGUAAUACAUCGGAACGUGCCCGGUCGUGGGGGAUAACGUAGCGAAAGUUACGCUAAUACCGCAUACGAUCUGAGGAUGAAAGCGGGGGACCUUCGGGCCUCGCGCGAUCGGAGCGGCCGAUGUCAGAUUAGGUAGUUGGUGGGGUAAAGGCCUACCAAGCCGACGAUCUGUAGCUGGUCUGAGAGGACGACCAGCCACACUGGGACUGAGACACGGCCCAGACUCCUACGGGAGGCAGCAGUGGGGAAUUUUGGACAAUGGGCGCAAGCCUGAUCCAGCCAUUCCGCGUGCAGGACGAAGGCCUUCGGGUUGUAAACUGCUUUUGUAUGGAACGAAAAGGCUCUGGCUAAUACCUGGGGCUCAUGACGGUACCGUAAGAAUAAGCACCGGCUAACUACGUG